rnacentral:rRNA from 2 species
AACGAACGCUGGCGGCAGGCUUAACACAUGCGAGUCGAGCGCACAGUUUACUGUGAGCGGCAGACGGGUGAGUAACGCGUGGGAAUCUACCUUGAGCUACGGGAUAACAGAGAGAAAUUUCUGCUAACACCGUAUGUGGCCUUUGGGCGAAAGAUUUAUCGGCUUAAGAUGAGCCCGCGUUGGAUUAGCUGGUUGGUGGGGUAAAGGCCUACCAAGGCGACGAUCCAUAGCUGGUCUGAGAGGAUGAUCAGCCACACUGGGACUGAGACACGGCCCAGACUCCUACGGGAGGCAGCAGUGGGGAAUAUUGGACAAUGGGCGCAAGCCUGAUCCAGCCAUGCCGCGUGAGUGAAGAAGGCCUUA